rnacentral:tRNA from 2 species
GGGGUCGUAGGUUAAUGGUAGACUAGGCGGCUCCAGACCGCCCAGCGGGGGUUCGAUUCCCUCCGACCCCA